GAUGAAGAACGCAGCGAAAUGCGAUAAGUAAUGUGAAUUGCAGAAUUCAGUGAAUCAUCGAAUCUUUGAACGCACAUUGCGCCCGCCAGUAUUCUGGCGGGCAUGCCUGUUCGAGCGUCAUUACAACCCUCAGGCCCCCGGGCCUGGCGUUGGGGAUCGGCAGAAGCCCCCUGUGGGCACACGCCGUCCCUCAAAUACAGUGGCGGUCCCGCCGCAGCUUCCAUUGCGUAGUAGCUAACACCUCGCAACUGGAGAGCGGCGCGGCCAUGCCGUAAAACACCCUACUUCAGAAUGUUGACCUCGAAUCAGGUAGGAAUACCCGCUGAACUUAAGCAUAUCAAUAAGCGGAGGA
rnacentral:misc_RNA from 1 species